rnacentral:rRNA from 1 species
UGGGGGAAUAUUGGGCAAUGGGGGAAACCCGUGACCCAGCGACGCCGCGUGAGGGAAGAAGGUCUUCGGAUUGUAAACCUCUUUCAGCAGGGAAGAUAAUGACGGUACCUGCAGAAGAAGCCACGGCUAACUACGUGCCAGCAGCCGCGGUAAUACGUAGGUGGCAAGCGUUAUCCGGAUUUAUUGGGCGUAAAGGGUGUGUAGGCGGGGCUGCAAGUCAGACGUGAAAUCAUGGGCUCAACCCAUGACCUGCGUUUGAAACUGCGGCUCUUGAGAGUGGGAGAGGUAAACGGAAUUCCUGGUGUAGCGGUGAAAUGCGUAGAUAUCAGGAGGAACACCGGUGGCGAAGGCGGUUUACUGGACCACAACUGACGCUGAGACACGAAAGCGUGGGGAGCAAACAGGGAUUAGAUACCCU